rnacentral:rRNA from 1 species
UACGUAGGGUGCAAGCGUUGUCCGGAAUUAUUGGGCGUAAAGAGCUCGUAGGCGGUCUGUCGCGUCGGCUGUGAAAACUCGGGCUCAACCCGAGCCUGCAGUCGAUACGGGCAGACUAGAGUGCUGUAGGGAGACUGGAAUUCCUGGUGUAGCGGUGAAAUGCGCAGAUAUCAGGAGGAACACCGGUGGCGAAGGCGGUCUCUGGCGAGUGAACUGACGCUGGAGGAGCGAAAGCGUGGGGAGCGAACAGG